UACAGAGGGUGCAAGCGUUAAUCGGAAUUACUGGGCGUAAAGGGCGCGUAGGCGGUUAUAUAAGUGAGUUGUGAAAUCCCUGGGCUUAACCUAGGAACAGCAAAUCAUACUGUGUGACUAGAGUAUUGUAGAGGGUAGUGGAAUUUCCGGUGUAGCGGUGAAAUGCGUAGAGAUCGGAAGGAACACCAGUGGCGAAGGCGGCUACCUGGACAAAUACUGACGCUGAGGCGCGAAAGCGUGGGGAGCAAACAGG
rnacentral:rRNA from 1 species